GUUUAAGCCGCCGGCGGAAUUUUGAAUGUCAGGCACCGACGUUAAUGUGUGUCGGCAUAGGUAUUUAUAGCAAAAUAAAUAUUAAAUAAUAACAAGAUUAUUAAAAUAGCCGAAUUAUAAAUAUAACUCAUUAAUAAACUCAAGAACUUACAACAUUUUUGGUAAAUUUAAAUUAAUCCAAUGAUAUGUGUUAUAAAAUUAUACCAAAAAAGAACAAUACAACACAAUAAAAAAAUAUAGCAAAAUUUCGUCAAAAGCAUGUGAUUUCCAAUAUAAUAUUACAUCAGAUCUUUUGUUGUUCUGAUAUAUCAAAUAAAAAUUAUUUCGUAUUUUCAUGUGCGGCAAACACAACAUACACUGGAUAUGAUAUAUUUCAGUAAUAACGCUUCAAAUAUAAAAAGUAUUUGCUCUUAUAUUAAUGUUUCCAAACAUCAAAACCUGCAGAAACGAAAAUAAUUGCCGCAAAUAAGCGGGAGUAGUUUUUGCUAUAAACAUAAGUUUUGUGUGCCCAAAAUCAACUAACAUGGACGAAGUAUUCUCAUUGCAUACUGAGAAAUUCGACUUAUAUGAUGUUCUUCUAUUGGCUGGUGUUCUUUCAGUUAUUAUAUUGCUUUCCAUUUAAGUAUGUGCGGAAGGACGAGAAUCGUUUUGUUUAUAUCUUUUGAAGGAUAACAACUCUGUUGUGAUAUUAAAAAACAAAUAUUUAUUAUGUGAACAAAAAACGUAAUGUAUACCUAAUGUAUAUAAAACCAUGCUGGAUUUUUAAAAAUUUCAGACAAUAAACUAUUAAGUAUGUACACUGCAAUAAAUGUAUGUUUUAUUAGCGAUUAAAUAAACUACACAUUCGUCAAGCCAAA